GUGGGGAAUCUUGGGCAAUGGGGGAAACCCUGACCCAGCGACGCCGCGUGAGGGAAGAAGGUCUUCGGAUUGUAAACCUUUGUGACAGGGGACGAAGGAAGUGACGGUACCCUGUGAGGAAGCCCCGGCUAACUACGUGCCAGCAGCCGCGGUAAUACGUAGGGGGCGAGCGUUGUCCGGAAUUACUGGGCGUAAAGGGCGCGUAGGCGGUUGAAUAAGUCUGUUGUGAAAUUCCAAGGCUUAACUUUGGCAGUGCAAUGGAAACUGUUCGACUUGAGUACGGCAGAGGCAAGUGGAAUUCCCAGUGUAGCGGUGAAAUGCACAGAGAUUGGGAGGAACACCAGUGGCGAAGGCGACUUGCUGGGCCGAAACUGACGCUGAGGCGCGAAAGCGUGGGGAGCAAACAGGA
rnacentral:rRNA from 1 species